UAACUCUGGAACUGCCAUUAAAACUUUUCAGCUAGAGUAUGAUAGAGGAAAGCAGAAUUUCUAGUGUAGAGGUGAAAUUCGUAGAUAUUAGAAAGAAUACCAAUUGCGAAGGCAGCUUUCUGGAUCAUUACUGACACUGAGGAACGAAAGCAUGGGUAGCGAAGAGGAUUAGAUACCCUCGUAGUCCAUGCCGUAAACGAUGUGUGUUAGACGUUGGAAAUUUAUUUUCAGUGUCGCAGGGAAACCGAUAAACACACCGCCUGGGGAGUACGACCGCAAGGUUAAAACUCAAAUGAAUUGACGGGGACCCGCACAAGUAGUGGAGCAUGUGGUUUAAUUCGAAGAUACGCGCAGAACCUUACCAACACUUGACAUGUUCGUCGCGACUCUAAGAGAUUAGAGUUUUCGGUUCGGCCGGACGAAACACAGGUGCUGCAUGGCUGUCGUCAGCUCGUGUCGUGAGAUGUUGGGUUAAGUCCCGCAACGAGCGCAACCCUCACUUUUAGUUGCCAUCAUUAAGUUGGGCACUCUGAAAGAACUGCCAGUGAUAAGCUGGAGGAAGGUGGGGAUGACGUCAAGUCCUCAUGGCCCUUACGUGUUGGGCUACACACGUGCUACAAUGGUAUUUACAACAGGAAGCAAGACUGCGAGGUCAAGCAAAUCCCUAAAAGAUACCUCAGUUCGGAUUGCACUCUGCAACUCGAGUGCAUGAAGCUGGAAUUACUAGUAAUCGUGGAUCAGCGUGCCACGGUGAAUGCGUUCCCGGGUCUUGUACACACCGCCCGUCACACCAUGGGAGUUGGUUCUACCUUAAGGCAAGGUUUCAAACCCUUGACCACGGUAUAGUCAGCGACUGGGGUGAAGUCGUAACAA
rnacentral:rRNA from 1 species